rnacentral:rRNA from 1 species
UACGGGGGGGGCAAGCGUUGUUCGGAAUUACUGGGCGUAAAGGGCUCGUAGGCGGCCAACUAAGUCAGACGUGAAAUCCCUCGGCUUAACCGGGGAACUGCAUCUGAUACUGGAUGGCUUAGUUCGGGAGAGGGAUGUGGAAUUCCAGGUGUAGCGGUGAAAUGCGUAGAUAUCUGGAGGAACACCGGUGGCGAAGGCGGCAUC